UACGUAGGGACCAAGCGUUGUUCGGAUUUACUGGGCGUAAAGGGCGCGUAGGCGGCGCGGUAAGUCACUUGUGAAAUCUCUGAGCUUAACUCAGAACGGCCAAGUGAUACUGCAGUGCUAGAGUGUGGAAGGGGCAAUCGGAAUUCUUGGUGUAGCGGUGAAAUGCGUAGAUAUCAAGAGGAACACCUGAGGUGAAGACGGGUUGCUGGGCCAACACUGACGCUGAUGCGCGAAAGCUAGGGGAGCGAACGGG
rnacentral:rRNA from 1 species